ACGUGGGCAAAGCACCUGAGCUUUUCUGCUCCAGAUUACCGGCAGAGAAUUGGUUAUUCAGUGAGAAGUGUGCGUUAAUGAGCAACACAGAAAUGCAGGUACUACCUUCAGAUGCUACCAGAGUUGUGGCUCCACUGCAGUUGAGGCAGUGUAGCAGAGACUUGGAUCUGAUGUUGGAGUUGAGCAAAGCUCCGGGACAUCCAAUCUUCAGCAAACCCAACCAGAGCCACAGGAACAUCGGCUGGUUCCCCAGGAACAGCGCCACCGCGUCUCCUUCCUUUACGCAUCCAGCCUGCAGAAACGCUCUCGCAGCUCUGUUGCUCAGGACAUCUGCUUCCCGCACGUACUGGACAUCCUGGAAGAGAUAAGGAUGGCGGAGUAAAACGCCACAUACAAUCAAGGCUGCACACACCGUCCAGACCAACAUGUUUGUCUCCCAGCUGUCCUGCUGAAGACA